GUCCAGACUCCUACGGGAGGCAGCAGUGGGGAAUAUUGCACAAUGGGGGAAACCCUGAUGCAGCGACGCCGCGUGAGCGAUGAAGUAUUUCGGUAUGUAAAGCUCUAUCAGCAGGGAAGAAAAUGACGGUACCUGACUAAGAAGCCCCGGCUAACUACGUGCCAGCAGCCGCGGUAAUACGUAGGGGGCAAGCGUUAUCCGGAUUUACUGGGUGUAAAGGGAGCGUAGACGGCUGUGCAAGCCAGAUGUGGAAGCCCGGGGCUCAACCCCGGGACUGCAUUUGGAACUGUGUGGCUGGAGUGUCGGAGAGGCAGGCGGAAUUCCUAGUGUAGCGGUGAAAUGCGUAGAUAUUAGGAGGAACACCAGUGGCGAAGGCGGCCUGCUGGACUGUAACUGACACUGAGGCACGAAAGCGUGGGGAGCAAACAGGAUUAGAUACCCCGGUA
rnacentral:rRNA from 1 species